rnacentral:misc_RNA from 1 species
UUCAUAUAUACUACAGUAUGGCCUGUAAAAUACUUUUGGUCGAACGAUGCUUGCCUACACAUGUGUGGUGCGAUCCUCGUUCCAGAGAUUAACGAGAAUGAGAUAUUGCAACAUGUGCUUUGGGACCGCUUGCUAUUUCCCAUUGCACACGAAUGUCAUGACAAACCAAUAUCGUUGUCACUGUGAAAUGUAUUUAGCGAGAAUUAUAAAUGCUUUUUCACAGAGCUAGUCCCGACAACGGUACACAUACGUGCGUCUAUGUCAUUUGCAA